rnacentral:rRNA from 1 species
GCGAACGGGUGAGUAAUAUAUCGGAACGUGCCCAGUCGUGGGGGAUAACGUAGCGAAAGCUACGCUAAUACCGCAUACGAUCUAUGGAUGAAAGCGGGGGAUCGCAAGACCUCGCGCGAUUGGAGCGGCCGAUAUCAGAUUAGCUAGUUGGUGGGGUAAAGGCCCACCAAGGCGACGAUCUGUAGCUGGUCUGAGAGGACGACCAGCCACACUGGAACUGAGACACGGUCCAGACUCCUACGGGAGGCAGCAGUGGGGAAUUUUGGACAAUGGGCGCAAGCCUGAUCCAGCAAUGCCGCGUGCAGGACGAAGGCCUUCGGGUUGUAAACUGCUUUUGUACGGAACGAAAAGGUCUGCCCUAAUACGGCGGGCUCAUGACGGUACCGUAAGAAUAAGCACCGGCUAACUACGUGCCAGCAGCCGCGGUAAUACGUGGGGUGCAAGCGUUAAUCGGAAUUACUGGGCGUAAAGCGUGCGCAGGCGGUUUUGUAAGACAGAUGUGAAAUCCCCGGGCUCAACCUGGGACCUGCAUUUGUGACUGCAAAGCUAAAGUACGGCAGAGGGGGAUGGAAUUCCGCGUGUAGCAGUGAAAUGCGUAGAUAUGCGGAGGAACACCGAUGGCGAAGGCAAUCCCCUGGGCCUGUACUGACGCUCAUGCACGAAAGCGUGGGGAGCAAACAG